rnacentral:rRNA from 3 species
GGAUGCGAUCAUACAAGCACUAAAGCACCGGAUCCCAUCAGAACUCCGAAGUUAAGCGUGCUUGGGCGAGAGUAGUACUAGGAUGGUUGACCUCCUGGGAAGUCCUCGUGUUGCAUUCC